CUAGUUUAACAAAACUAACAGCUCUUUCAAGAUUAUGUGGCAGGUGGUGCAUGGCCGUUCUUAGUUCGUGAAGUGAUUCGUUCGCCCAAUCGCAUUUCCAAACAACUAACAACUCAGAAUGCUGGGCAAUAGGACGUUUAAAGUGGCUCCUUACACCUUACAAAGGAAUGGCUGAUGAGAAACAACUCGAUCCGCUCAGCGUUCUAUUGGAAUGC
rnacentral:rRNA from 1 species